CUCUUGGUUACAUGGACCAGCCCUGUCCAUGGAGACGGGACUACCCAGGGUGAACUCCAGGAGGAUGGCUACAAGACCAUCAAAUACUUACACAGGUGCCAAACAAGUAGAAACUUCACACCAACAGGUGGGAGAGUCAACUGGUAUACCGCUUUGGGAAAGAGUUUAUUUCAGCAGGAUGGACUGAAGUCAUUGAUGCUGUAGGACCCAGUGAUUCCACACCUGGAUGUACAUCCACUACAAGAAGAGACCAUCAGGAUGGCAUGAACACCUUGACAAGUCCAUCUUCAAGUCAGAAGAGGG